GCGUUGCAGUUUAUUGAGCUCGAUCGAGAAGUGUGACGAAGAAGGCCGUUAAUAAUUCAACUACUUAAAGAAUACGGGUUAGAUAUGGGCAACGACUUCGAAGACAUUUGCAGUAGGCUAAACAGAGAAAGAGAGGGAGACCCAAAACUACCUGUCCUGGCAUCACAUUUGAGGAGGAGAUGAAGUCGGUGAAUAUGACCUAGCCCGGGGGAGUUUCCAGGAGACGGCCCAGAACCACUGGCCGCCAGGAGUGGAGGUCCUUUGUUGUUGCUCUACAUGUCAGGAGGCAUCGGGCAGUAGGUAAGACUAACCCUGGUAGAAGCACCAUCUUGAUACCAUCAUUCAAACUCUCAUCAGCUGUAUCAUUAUAGGUGGACUAAAAGAACAAUAUUCAUGCAGAUAUAAUGAUGCCUUAAGUUGAAAUGGAAGGUGUCCUGAAUCUGCACCCAUUCAUCUGGUUUCGUAACUCCUUUCAUAGUGCUAUUGGAACCUGCUCCCUACCAGUAUAACAUCAAACAGAUUGGAAGAAUAAAGGCCAAUGGGAAGUGCCUUUUAUAUUUCUACUUGCCACAAAGCAGUCCGUGGUUUAGCGCGAUCUAAACUGGACUAUUGUAAUGCUCUUCGUGCUUGAAUUAGGGCGAUCUGGACUGACUGCAGAUAGUACAGAAUGCUGCAUCUAUUGUGCCAUUUGCCAUACGCCAACUUCGCUGGCUGCAAGUCAAGGAAAGGAUAUACAUGUACAUGAACAUCAGUGUCCGUCUCCUGAUUUUCAAAGUCAAUGACAGAGAUCCAGAUUACAUGUAUUAUAAGGAAUCCCUUGUGCGUCAUUUUCAUUCUAGGCGCACUUGCCUUUUUAUUUUUGUGAUCAUUACGCACCUACAAAUUAGCUACUGGUGAUGCAACUUUCUCCACUACUGCUCCAAGGCCAUGGAAUUAGCUCCUUCCUCUCCUCCAGUUGUCAACAACCUUGGAUCAAUCCAAAUACAAUUUGAGAAGACCUACCAUAUUCCUGAUCUUUGCUCUGUACUUACAACAAUACUGUCACUGCCUGGUAAUUUGAAUUUUUUAAAAUCUCACGGAUGGCAUCUCAAAGUGCUUUGUAUCUCGCAAAAUAAUGUGUUGUGUAAAAGCGAACACGCAUUGAGGUCAAGCAUAAGGGUAACCAUGGAUAUUGCCUUUUAUUACUUUUUAACAAAAGUGAAAAAUUCAUCCAAAUUAGACAAGGGAUAAUAAAGUAAUGUAUGACAUUCUAACCUCUGCAUUAUUUUGGUGAAAGAGCUCUAAGCAUAUGCAAGUAGCAAGCUGAUGAUGUCAUACUGACGUACAUUUUACGUGUACACGUAUCCCCAGCUUAUUAUUUUGUAUAUAAAAUUGUGCAUUUAAUUUUGUUUACCAAGAAUGAAACAAAUCGGAUUGUAAACUGUAUUGAUGUGACUUACCUGUAUUGAUUAUUGCUGGAAGUUCUUUUGCUACAUGGGAUUGGAAGACAUACUUAUUACACACAUGAAGUAAAUUAUUAUUUUAUCUGGUAACAUGAGAACAAUAAAAAUGUGGGCAUGAUAUCAUAAACUUACAUGUAUCUACUUGCAUGUGUUGAUGACCAAUAUUUUUGUAAAUAUUAUUUUUUAAAUUUUAUCUGAUUUUGAUAAAAUUUUCACUAUUUUGCAUGGUAAAAAUUACUUUAUUUUAGAUUAUGUUGAGCCCGUAUCAUAUACAAGUACACCUUUAAAGAUAAAUUACCAGUUGUACAUGUAGUAACAAUCUUAAAAUGAGUUCGAACAGAAUCCAAUAGAAUUACCAGCAAAAUAUAAAAGAUAUGUGCCAUAAUUAUAGCUCGGGAAGAAAAUGUGUAAUUGCUGAGAAAUUAGCAAAAUAAGCAUGUAAUUCUAUCAAGGUAUCAGGUAUUUUUCAAAUCAAUCAUAAUACACUGUCCUGUCCCACAUAUGCUUUUCUGUGUUAGUGAUCAUCAGAAUAAUUGAUUUUAAGUUCAAAAUUAGUGAUUUUACAAAGAUACAAGUUUACAUUAAUGUACCAGAUCUAGAGAUUAUGUACAAUAUUUUGACAAUUUCUCAUGAAAUAAUUGUUUGCUGCAACUGCUGUCUUUUUAAUACCUCUAAGUGAUAGUGUAAUACAACCACAAACUUUUCUUAAGAAUUAAUGUACAUGUAUGAUUCUUUCACCCAAAUUUACAUGCAUUGAUACUGUUGACUAUUUGCCAAAAGUUCCUGCCAAAAGCCUUUUUUUUAACGAUGUACAUGCUUUUAUAGACGACCUGCCAAAACAUUGUUUUGUAUAUAUAUUCAAGGACCAACCAAAAAGAGAUGAAUAAAAUGUUUGAAGGAAAUUGAAAUUAACUUUAAAAAUGAUAGCUGUCAAUGCAGUAUUAUUACAGGGUUCCCACAGUCAUGGAAAAUCCUGGAAAAAAUAGGUCAUGGAAAGUCAGGGAUAUGUGAAAAGUCUUGGAAUUGCGUUUACCUCUUGGCUAUGACAGCUUUCUAGUUUUUAUGUCUCACAACUCUCAUACUCUGUGAUUGUACUCUUCUAAUAUAAUUGGUGUUCAUGAUCAUAACAUGUCUGAUUUUGUAAACUGUGCCAGAAAGGAAUUAAGUCAUGGAAAGCAGCAAUUUAGUCAUGGAGAGGUCAUGGAAUUCUGUUUUCAAAUUUCUGUGGGAACCCUGAAUUUUUUUUUUUGUGCACUUGACACAGUGUGCACUACAGAUGAACUUUGUAAUGCCAUGAUAUAAACCAGUACAAUAUCUU